AUUGAACGCUGGCGGCAUGCCUUACACAUGCAAGUCGAACGGCAGCACGGGGGCAACCCUGGUGGCGAGUGGCGAACGGGUGAGUAAUGCAUCGGAACGUGCCCAGUAGUGGGGGAUAACCAGUCGAAAGGCUGGCUAAUACCGCAUACGACCUUCGGGUGAAAGCGGGGGACCGUAAGGCCUCGCGCUAUUGGAGCGGCCGAUGUCUGAUUAGCUAGUUGGCGGGGUAAGAGCCCACCAAGGCGACGAUCAGUAGCUGGUCUGAGAGGACGACCAGCCACACUGGGACUGAGACACGGCCCAGACUCCUACGGGAGGCAGCAGUGGGGAAUUUUGGACAAUGGGCGCAAGCCUGAUCCAGCCAUGCCGCGUGCGGGAAGAAGGCCUUCGGGUUGUAAACCGCUUUUGGCAGGAACGAAACGGCGCAAGCCAAUACCUUGCGCUAAUGACGGUACCUGCAGAAUAAGCACCGGCUAACUACGUGCCAGCCGCCGCCGUAA
rnacentral:rRNA from 1 species